GGCUCCCCGGUCGGCGCUUGGCUGCCGUGAGGGCCUCUCCGGUGUCUGUGAAGGAAGUACUACAUUGUUUGGAUUUCUGUUCCUUUUCAAUGUAAUUUGAAAUUGCCUCUGGUAACCAGUAUUCUGCUUUCUACUUCUAGAAGAUCAAGUUUUUUGGAUUUCAUGUGA